CUACGUGCCAGCAGCCGCGGUAAUACGUAGGGCGCGAGCGUUGUCCGGAAUUAUUGGGCGUAAAGAGCUUGUAGGCGGUUUGUCGCGUCUGCUGUGAAAGGCCGGGGCUUAACCCCGUGUAUUGCAGUGGGUACGGGCAGACUAGAGUGCAGUAGGGGAGACUGGAACUCCUGGUGUAGCGGUGGAAUGCGCAGAUAUCAGGAAGAACACCGAUGGCGAAGGCAGGUCUCUGGGCUGUAACUGACGCUGAGAAGCGAAAGCAUGGGGAGCGAACAGGAUUAGAUACCCUGGUAGUCCAUGCCGUAAACGUUGGGCACUAGGUGUGGGGGCCACCCGUGGUUUCUGCGCCGUAGCUAACGCUUUAAGUGCCCCGCCUGGGGAGUACGGCCGCAAGGCUAAAACUCAAAGGAAUUGACGGGGGCCCGCACAAGCGGCGGAGCAUGCGGAUUAAUUCGAUGCAACGCGAAGAACCUUACCAAGGCU
rnacentral:rRNA from 1 species